rnacentral:rRNA from 1 species
UACAGAGGGUGCGAGCGUUAAUCGGAAUUACUGGGCGUAAAGCGCACGUAGGCGGACUCUUAAGUCGGUGGUGAAAUCCUGGAGCUCAACUCCAGAACUGCCUUCGAUACUGAGAGUCUCGAGUCCGAGAGAGGUGAGUGGAACUGCGAGUGUAGAGGUGAAAUUCGUAGAUAUUCGCAAGAACACCAGUGGCGAAGGCGGCUCACUGGCUCGGUACUGACGCUGAGGUGCGAAAGCGUGGGGAGCAAACAGGG